GUUGUCCUACGGGGCGCAGCAGUGGGGAAUAUUGGGCAAUGGGCGCAAGCCUGACCCAGCAACGCCGCGUGAAGGAAGAAGGCUCUCGGGUUGUAAACUUCUUUUCUCAGGGACGAAGCAAGUGACGGUACCUGAGGAAUAAGCCACGGCUAACUACGUGCCAGCAGCCGCGGUAAUACGUAGGAGGCAAGCAUUAUCCGGAUUUACUGGGUGUAAAGGGCGUGUAGGCGGGGACGCAAGUCAGAUGUGAAAACCACGGG
rnacentral:rRNA from 1 species